GAUGAACGCUGGCGGCGUGCCUAAUACAUGCAAGUCGAGCGAACAGACGAGGAGCUUGCUGCUUUGUCGUUUGGGGCGGACGGGUGUGUCACAUGUGGAUAACCCCCUUAUAAGAGUGGGAUCACUUCGGGACAGCGGCGAUAAUCCCGGAUGAGAUAUUGAACCGUAGGGUUGAAUAGUAAAUGACGGUGUUGCUGUAACUUAUAGCGGGAUCCGAGCCGCAUUAGCUAGUUGGUAAGGUAACGGCUUACCAAGGCGACGAUGCGUAGCCGACCUGAGAGGGUGAUCGGCCACACUGGAACUGGGACACGGUCCAGACUCCUACGGGAGGCAGCAGUAGGGAAUCGUCCGCAGUGGGCGAAAGCCUGACGGAGCAACGCCGCGUGAGUGAUGAAGGUCUUCGGAUCGUAAACCUCUGUUAUUAGGGAAGAACAAAUGUGUAAGUAACUAUGCACGUCUUGACGGUACCUAAUCAGAAAGCCACGGCUAACCACGUG
rnacentral:rRNA from 1 species